rnacentral:piRNA from 1 species
GNGAAAACUAGUGGUAAAGUGCCAUGGG